rnacentral:miRNA from 1 species
CUCCAGGAAGCAGCUCCCCUGUCCUCUCGCGCAAUGCUGUGUGGAGCGUUGCCAUGGUAACGUGCGGCAACGCUCCACACAGCAUCGCGCGGGAGGACAGGGGAGCUGCUUCCUGGAG